rnacentral:rRNA from 1 species
AUUGAACGCUGGCGGCAUGCUUUACACAUGCAAGUCGAACGGUAACAGGCCGCAAGGUGCUGACGAGUGGCGAACGGGUGAGUAAUGCAUCGGAACGUGCCCAGUCGUGGGGGAUAACGCAGCGAAAGCUGCGCUAAUACCGCAUACGAUCUAUGGAUGAAAGCGGGGGACCGUAAGGCCUCGCGCGAUUGGAGCGGCCGAUGUCAGAUUAGGUAGUUGGUGGGGUAAAGGCUCACCAAGCCAACGAUCUGUAGCUGGUCUGAGAGGACGACCAGCAACACUGGGACUGAGACACGGCCCAGACCCCGACGGGAGGCAGCAGUGGGGAAUUUUGGACAAUGGGCGCAAGCCUGAUCCAGCAAUGCCGCGUGCAGGAAGAAGGCCUUCGGGUUGUAAACUGCUUUUGUACGGAACGAAACGGCUCUGGUUAAUACCUGGGGCUAAUGACGGUACCGUAAGAAUAAGCACCGGCUAACUACGUGCCAGCCGCCGCCGUAAUAC